AUGGUCCUUUGGCUUUUGGUCAUCUCCCUGCACCUGCAUAUUCUCCAAUGUCAUGCUGCCACGGACACCCUCUCGCUUAGCCAAGAACUAACCGGCCAUGACAAACUUUUGUCCAGCAAUGGCAGGUUUGCGCUUGGCUUCUUCCAAACCGGGAGCAAGUUCUCUGACAACACACCAAAAUGGUACCUUGGGAUUUGGUUCCACACGGUCCCCAAGUUUACAUCCGUAUGGGUCGCCAACGGUGAAAAUCCUAUCGCCAACCUCUCAUCGUGCAAGCUUGUGCUUUCCCAUGAUGGCAACCUUGUCGUCCUCCUAGAGGAGACCACCACGGCUUGGUCCACAAAAGCCAACACCACAACCAACACCACCGUCGCUACUCUCCUCGACGAUGGAAACCUUGUCCUACGUAGUGCAUCCAAUUCAUCCAAUGUCUUUUGGCAAAGCUUUGAUUACCCCACCGAUACUAUUCUUCAAGGUGCGAAGAUAGGCUGGAACAAUUCCACCGGCUUAAUCCGCCGCCUUGUCUCCAGGAAGAACACCAUUGACCAAACUACCGACAUGUACUCUUGGGAGUUAUCUGGCAAUAAUGGUGGUCAUACUACCAUUGUUUCUAUGUUUAACCCGUCCCAACAAUAUUGGUCAAGCGGAGAUUGGGGAGGCCGAUACUUUGGCAACAUCCCAGAGACCGUAGGACAGACCUGGCUCUCACUUGAUUUCACGAGCACUGAAGAAGGUGCGUACAUCCAGUAUGCAAUUGAGGAUCCAACAGUGCUAUCACGCGGUAUAAUGGACGUUUCCGGUCAAAUGAAGGUGCUCGUGUGGUUCGAGGGAUCACAAGAUUGGACCAUCUACACUGCACUAAAAUCUCAAUGUGAUAUCUAUGCUUCAUGUGGCCCUUUCACGGUCUGCAACGAUGUCCCCUCCCCAUCGUGCAGCUGCUUGAAGGGCUACUCCAUACGAUCACCUCAAGACUGGGAGCUUGAUGAUCGAACAGGAGGAUGUGCAAGAAAUACUCCACUCUACUGCAGCGCCAACAUUACUGGAGUCGGCAAGGCAGAUAAGUUUUACCCUAUGAAUUCUGUCCAACUUCCUGUUGAUGCCAAGAAUGUUGGGAUAGCCACCACUGCAGCAUAUUCGUACGAUCAAGGUGGUUGCUUCAUUUGGCAUGACAAGCUGCUCAAUAUUCAGCAACAAGGUAACAAUAUUCUUCACCUUUGCCUCGCUGCAAAAGAAGAGCAAAGUAGUAAUACCAAUAGAAGGGGGCUAAUCAUUGGUGUUGCUAUUGGUUCUCUAACGGACUCGACAACCAUAGCAGUGAAAAGGCUUGAUGGAUUCCGCCAAGGAGAGAAGCAAUUCAGGGCUGAGGUGAGCUCAACUGGGGUCAUCCAACAUGUCAACUUGGUUAUACUGAUUGGCUUUUGUUGUCAAGGUGAUAAGAGGUUACUUGUCUAUGAAUACAUGCCCAAUGGCUCCCUCGAUUCCCAUCUCUUCCAAAGCAAUGGCAUGGUGUUGGAUUGGACUACAAGGUACCAAAUAGCCCUUGGAAUUGCUAGAGGAUCAUCCUAUUUGCAUUCUAGUUGUCGGGCCUGUAUUAUACAUUGUGAUAUCAAACCGGAGAACAUACUUCUAGAUGGGUCUUUCACUCCUAAAGUCGCGGACUUUGGAAUGGCCAAACUUUUCCGAAGGGAUUUCAGCCAUGUUGUUACUACAAUGAGGGAAACCAUUAGAUACCUUGCUCCUGAAUGGAUCAGUGGAACUCCUAUCACAUCAAAAGUUGAUGUUUACAGCUAUGGCAUGGUUUUGUUAGAGAUUAUAUCAGGCAGCAGGAACUCGAGUAAGCAAUCCUCCUACGAAGAUGGCGUCCAUGAAGCAUAUUUUCCGGUGCGAGUUGCACGCAGUCUUCUUGAUGGAGAUAUUGCUACUUUGGUAGAUGCAAAGUUGUUGGGUGAAGUGAAUCAGGAGGAGGUUGAAAGAGUUUGCAAAGUCGCUUGCUGGUGUAUUCAAGAUGUUGAGUUUGACCGGCCUACAAUGAGUGAGGUGGUGCAGUUUCUCAAGUGUGUGUCUGAAGUUGAGACGCUUCCAAUGCCAAGAUUACUUCAAGCUAUCGCGGGACAGCCAAAUUCAAAGAUAAUGUAA
rnacentral:rRNA from 1 species